rnacentral:rRNA from 1 species
UACGUAGGUGGCGAGCGUUGUCCGGAUUUACUGGGCGUAAAGAGCGCGCAGGCGGUCGUACAAGUCGCGUGUGAAAGCCCCUGGCUCAACUGGGGAGGGUCACGCGAUACUGUUCGACUCGAAGGCAGGAGAGGGUAGUGGAAUUCCCGGUGUAGUGGUGAAAUGCGUAGAUAUCGGGAGGAACACCGGUGGCGAAGGCGGCAUCCUGGACCAAUAUUGACGCUGAGGAGCGAAAGCUAGGGGAGCAAACGGG